AUUGAACGCUGGCGGCAGGCCUAACACAUGCAAGUCGAACGGUAACAGGAAACAGCUUGCUGUUUCGCUGACGAGUGGCGGACGGGUGAGUAAUGUCUGGGAAACUGCCUGAUGGAGGGGGAUAACUACUGGAAACGGUAGCUAAUACCGCAUAACGUCGCAAGACCAAGGAGGGGGACCUUCGGGCCUCUUGCCAUCGGAUGUGCCCAGAUGGGAUUAGCUAGUAGGUGGGGUAACGGCUCACCUAGGCGACGAUCCCUAGCUGGUCUGAGAGGAUGACCAGCCACACUGGAACUGAGACACGGUCCAGACGCCUACGGGAGGCAGCAGUGGGGAAUAUUGCACAAUGGGCGCAAGCCUGAUGCAGCCAUGCCGCGUGUAUGAAGAAGGCCUUCGGGUUGUAAAGUACUUUCAGCGGGGAGGAAGGGAGUAAAGUUAAUACCUUUGCUCAUUGACGUUACCCGCAGAAGAAGCACCGGCUAACUCCGUG
rnacentral:rRNA from 1 species